rnacentral:rRNA from 1 species
UACGUAGGGGGCGAGCGUUGUCCGGAUUCAUUGGGCGUAAAGAGCUCGUAGGCGGUUCGGUAAGUCAGGUGUGAAAACUCCAGGCUCAACUUGGAGACGCCACCUGAUACUGUCGUGACUAGAGUCCGGUAGGGGAGCAUGGAAUUCCUGGUGUAGCGGUGAAAUGCGCAGAUAUCAGGAGGAACACCAGCGGCGAAGGCGGUGCUCUGGGCCGGAACUGACGCUGAGGAGCGAAGGCGUGGGGAGCGAACGGG